rnacentral:rRNA from 1 species
AUUGAACGCUGGCGGCAGGCCUAACACAUGCAAGUCGAACGGUAGCACAGAGGAGCUUGCUCCUUGGGUGACGAGUGGCGGACGGGUGAGUAAUGUCUGGGAAGCUGCCUGAUGGAGGGGGAUAACUACUGGAAACGGUAGCUAAUACCGCAUAACGUCGCAAGACCAAAGAGGGGGACCUCCGGGCCUCUUGCCAUCAGAUGUGCCCAGAUGGGAUUAGCUAGUAGGUGGGGUAAUGGCUCACCUAGGCGACGAUCCCUAGCUGGUCUGAGAGGAUGACCAGCCACACUGGAACUGAGACACGGUCCAGACUCCUACGGGAGGCAGCAGUGGGGAAUAUUGCACAAUGGGCGCAAGCCUGAUGCAGCCAUGCCGCGUGUAUGAAGAAGGCCUUCGGGUUGUAAAGUACUUUCAGCGGGGAGGAAGGUGAUACGGUUAAUAACCGUGUCAAUUGACGUUACCCGCAGAAGAAGCACCGGCUAACUCCGUGCCAGCAGCCGCCGUAA